rnacentral:piRNA from 1 species
UCACAUAAUAUCCCUAAAGAAUAUGUC